AGUCGUACAGGUCUCCGUAGGUGAACCUGCGGAGGGAUCAUUACACAAAUAUGAAGGCGGGCUGGAACCUCUCGGGGUUACAGCCUCGCUGAAUUAUUCACCCUUGUCUUUUGCGUACUUCUUGUUUCCUUGGUGGGUUCGCCCACCACUAGGACAAACAUGAACCUUUUGUAAUUGCAAUCAGCGUCAGUAACAAAUUAAUAAUUACAACUUCCAGCAACGGAUCUCUUGGUUCUGGCAUCGAUGAAGAACGCAGCGAAAUGCGAUAAGUAGUGUGAAUUGCAGAAUUCAGUGAAUCAUCGAAUCUUUGAACGCACAUUGCGCCCUUUGGUAUUCCAAAGGGCAUGCCUGUUCGAGCGUCAUUUGUACCCUCAAGCUUUGCUUGGUGUUGGGCGUCUUGUCUCUAGCUUUGCUGGAGACUCGCCUUAAAGUAAUUGGCAGCCGGCCUACUGGUUUCGGAGCGCAGCACAAGUCGCACUCUCUAUCAGCAAAGGUCUAGCAUCCAUUAAGCCUUUUUUUCAACUUUUGACCUCGGAUCAGGUAGGGAUACCCGCUGAACUUA
rnacentral:rRNA from 1 species